UGCCAGCAGCCGCGGUAAUACCGGCAGCUCGAGUGGUCGUCGCUUUUAUUGGGCCUAAAACGUCCGUAGCCUGUUUGGUAAAUCUGUGGGUAAAUCAACGAGCUCAACUCGUUGAAUUCUGCAGAGACUGCCAGACUAGGGACCGGGAGAGGUAUGAGGUACUCUGGGGGUAGGGGUAAAAUCCUGUCAUCCUCAGAGGACCACCUGUUGCGAAGGCGUCAUACUGGAACGGAUCCGACGGUCAGGGACGAAGCCUAGGGGCACGAACCGGAUUAGAUA
rnacentral:rRNA from 1 species